ACGUAUAGUGCGAUUGAUUUAGCGGCCGCCGUUCGAUCUUGUGCCAGCAGCCGUUAUGAUUCCAGCUCCAAUAGCGUAUAUUAAAGUUGUUGCGCCUAAAAAGCUCGUAGUUGAACCUUGGACCUGGUUGGCCGGUCCGCCUCACCGCGUGCACCGUCCCGGCCGGGCCUUUCCCUCUGUGGAACCCCAUACCCUUCACUGGGCGUGGUGUCCAAACAGGACAUUUACUUUGAAAAAAUUAGAGUGCUCCAGGAAGGCCUAUGCUCGAAUACUUUAUCAUGGAAUAAUAAAAUAGGACGCGCGGUUCUAUUUUGUUGCUUUAUUUUACCGCCGUAAUGAUUAAUAGCCACAGCCCGCCCCAUCAGGAUUCAACUGUCACAGAUGAAAUUCUUGGAUCAGUUGAAGACUAACUACUGCGAAAGCAUUUGCCAAGGAUGUUUUCAUUAAUCAGGAACGAAAGUUAGGGGAUCGAAGACGAUCAGAUACCGUCGUAGUCUUAACCAUAAACUAUGCCGGGGGAGGGGGGCGGACGGUGUUAUUCCAUGACCCCGUUCGGCACAAAACGAGACAUCUUACUGCUAUAAAAAAAAAAAAAAAAAAGUUCUCAUGUUUGAUUCUGUUGGAGGUUGGCGGCGCGGCACGGGAAGUUUUUAUUCUGUUUUUUAAUUCGCCUCAACCACGGCGCAACUCACAAGUCAAGACCAAUAGGAUUGAUUGUUUGAUAGUUCUUUCUGAUUGAGGGAGUGCGGCAUCGCCUGUCUUAGUUUGUAAUAACUAGCAAACAAAAUAGAAAUAACGAACGAGAACUUAACCCUGUGCUAGUCGGCCUCGCUUUGCUGCUUGCUAGAGGGUUGCAUCUUAAGAGGGACUUAGCAAGUACAAGCGAAAGUAGGUGAGGCAAUGAUGUUCAUGUAUGCCUUUGGAUGGUCUCGAGGUGAG
rnacentral:rRNA from 1 species